AGAGUUUGAUCCUGGCUCAGAACGAACGCUGGCGGCGUGCCUAACACAUGCAAGUCGAACGUGAUUGGAAGCUUGCUUCCAUGAAAGUGGCGCACGGGUGAGUAACGCGUAGAUAAUCUACCUGAUGAUCCGGGAUAACACUUCGAAAGGGGUGCUAAUACCUGAUAAGCCCACGGGGUCUUCGGACUCUGCGGGAAAAGGGGGGGACCUUCGGGCCUUCCGUCAUCAGAUGAGUCUGCGUACCAUUAGCUAGUUGGUAGGGUAAAGGCCUACCAAGGCGACGAUGGUUAGCGGGUCUGAGAGGAUGAUCCGCCACACUGGAACUGGAACACGGACCAGACUCCUACGGGAGGCAGCAGUGAGGAAUAUUGCGCAAUGGGGGAAACCCUGACGCAGCGACGCCGCGUGGGUGAAGAAGGCCUUCGGGUUGUAAAGCCCUGUCAGGUGGGAAGAAGUGUAUCAUGGCUAAUAUCCAUGGUAUUUGACGGUACCACCAAAGGAAGCACCGGCUAACUCCGUGCCAGCAGCCGCGGUAAUACGGAGGGUGCAAGCGUUGUUCGGAUUUACUGGGCGUAAAGGGCGCGUAGGCGGUUUUAUAAGCCAGAUGUGAAAGCCCACGGCUCAACCGUGGAAGUGCAUCUGGAACUGUAAGACUUGAGUAUGGGAGUGGAAAGUGGAAUUCCCGGUGUAGAGGUGAAAUUCGUAGAUAUCGGGAGGAAUACCGGUGGCGAAGGCGACUUUCUGGACCAAUACUGACGCUGAGGCGCGAAAGCGUGGGUAGCAAACAGGAUUAGAUACCCUGGUAGUCC
rnacentral:rRNA from 1 species